UUGAGUUUGAUCAUGGCUCAGAACGAACGCUGGCGGCAGGCUUAACACCUGCAAGUCGAGCGCCCCGCAAGGGGAGCGGCAGACGGGUGACUAACGCGUGGGAAUCUACCCUUUUCUACGGAAUAACGCAGGGAAACUUGUGCUAAUACCGUAUGAGCCCUUCGGGGGAAAGAUUUAUCGGGAAAGGAUGAGCCCGCGUUGGAUUAGCUAGUUGGUGGGGUAAAGGCCUACCAAGGCGACGAUCCAUAGCUGGUCUGAGAGGAUGAUCAGCCACAUUGGGACUGAGACACGGCCCAAACUCCUACGGGAGGCAGCAGUGGGGAAUAUUGGACAAUGGGCGCAAGCCUGAUCCAGCCAUGGCCGCGUGAGUGAUGAAGGCCCUAGGGUUGUAAAUUUUUUUCACCGGUGAAGAUAAUGACGGUAACCGGAGAAGAAGCCCCGGCUAACUUCGUGCCAGCAGCCGCGGUAC
rnacentral:rRNA from 1 species